rnacentral:ncRNA from 1 species
ACGAAUACGUGGAAGAGAAGUAGUAAAGAGUAAACGCUCUUAGAGAGGGAAAUCCUGUGCUGAAAAUUUCCCGGGAAGGUUGUUCUUGAAGUCGUCUCUGAUGUAGAAUCUCUGAAAAAUGAAGUAGGAGGUUCCGGUUGUCAGCCGAUAUCCAUGACCUUGAGUGUGCUUUAAUGAAGCUGCAGCAGCUUUUAUUGAUCAGCAAACAAAGGUGGUACCACGGAAAUAUACCUUUUCGUCCUUUAU